GCGGGAGAUACUGGCACUAUUUUCUUGCUCUGAGUUACAUAGAAUAGGCGUGUGCGAGAAGAGCAAAAAAGACAAAUAGAACAAAAAAAACAAAAUCAACAAUUCCCUCUCCAUAUAGUUCCCACCCACUCAGGCUGGGGGGAUCCAUUCAGAACUUUUUCAGGGCUCAGGAAGGAGUUCCAGGGCUAGGAAGCGAGGUUGCAGGGGAAACGCUACCUGCUGCAGAAACAUAUAAGGAAAGAAAAGGGAGGGCUUUGGGGAAGAAAAAUGGAGAGAUCCGUAAAUUCCGGGGGUCUAAGGAAUGACUGGUGCAGAGAGGAAUCUUGGAGGAAGGAAAGCCUCAAAGCGGAGCUAGAGCAGAGCGGAGCCUAGGUAGCUAGUCCGGAUUUGUUUGGUUUGGCUUUUAAAUCCCCCUUGUGGGAAGAUGUGGGGAAGAGAAUAAGCAACUUUCAAGCUCUUCUCGCCCCCAGACGAUUUCAGAGAACUUAUGCAUGCAGGACAAGGAUGGGGGGCUGAGAGGUGAGUUGAUGAAUUUAAAAUCGAAGAUCUGGAGAUUAUAGAAUCUUAUAGGUCAAGGAGUCCGGCACUUUGAAUCAGGGUAGAUAAGCACCCAUCCCCCAAUAACUGAAUAUCUCUAGAAUGAAGGACAGAGGGAAAACAGGGAGGAAGAUUGGACUGACUUGUUGCUGUUGCGGUAGUGAUUUGCUCGCUUCCUUACUUGCUUGUCUGCUUGUUUUUUUGCUGGUGGUGGCGCGGGGGCCUUGAAGAGUUGCUGAAUCCCCAUUUGGCCAGUCCGUGACAAGUCUUGCCAGAAUGUAUCUUUCUUAUUGUACUGCUUACAACUUUUAUACAUACUACUUGAAGAUCUUGUGCAGAUUGGAGAAGAGGACCGAAGAAAAUCCCAACUAGUUUUUCAAGGGAUUGGGUUUGGAGAGAGACCGCAAACAUUAAAGGCCAGCAAGCCUUCUCUUGUUAUUCCAAAGGGAUGACUGCUUCUAAUGUGAAAAAGAACCGGGGCUAUCUGAGAGACAAAAUAGGAUGCUUGGCUUCCUGCAGACCUGGAAAGAAGCCCUUGCAUAGAGGCCCUGUGAGAGAAUCAUACGGAAUGGAACCAGUCAACUCCAGUCAGGAAGGGGUGCUGAAAGAGCCCAAGAGGCUCAGACAAGGAACUAGAUGGGUAGCUCUGAACCGGAGAGUAAGAGGGACCUGCGUACCUCUGGUUUAGGGGCAUGUUCCCCCCAAAGCUGGAAUCUAGAAAAGACAAGGGAGGGCCGGCGGAUCUUCUGUGGAGCCUUUAAGGCAGGCAAAGAAACUCUUCAAGUUUCUUUGUAAUUUAACGCAGUUCUUCCGAUUUAUUAGUACUACCUCAUGAGACUGGGAGUUAAUUGGGAGUCAAAAGAUCGUUCCCUAUUAGUGGAUCCUACUUUUUCGAAUUGGGUCAUUAGAGUGUGGAAUUCCCUCCCAACCUCCACGUGGCACUAGGGGCCAAAGGCAGGGUCCUCCACUUAGCAGUCUUGUGUUGUCCUUGCUGCCCAGAGCACGUGAGUCUUUCCCAUCCCCUUCCCAACACACGUUGCGAUUGCGGUUCAGCUUUCUCCCUUGCUCCUUGCAUCUCUCUAAGUGCAGGAUAUGUGUAACUCCCUCCAAACCACUUUCUUCCCAGCUAGCUCGCUGUUGCCUCCAACCAAGUCUUGGGCGCUGUUCUAGCUCUCCCGCUGUGUUUCUGAAGCCGUUUGUCUCCAGCUGGCGCUGGCUCCUCGGGGCAUGUAGUUAGUUCCCUGCAGGGGCCGAGCCUGCGAGUGUUCAGGCCUCUUGACGUCCUCCUGCUGCUCUGAGCUGCUCAAUGUUUCUUUCUCCUUUGCAGAACCCAGUGUUCCUGCUUACUUCUAGAGGCCUCCCCGGGUCCCUGUGGACUAAAGGUGUGGGGGGAUUCGAUUGAGAUGCAAGCCUUCUACCCUUUUCCUCCUUUCAGAGAGGAGCCAAAGGAUAAUUAUUCACUCUAGGGGAAGAACCAAAGUUGUAUCUGAUCAAAGACCAAAUCACAACUUUACUCUGAUUUGGCUACCCCAAGAUAUGCCAUGAGGGAAGCUGUAUUCUUUCCAAGUGUGAAUGACUAAGGGGACACUGCUUUCAAUCACUUCAGAAAGCCCCAAAUUAUUUUCUAUCAAGGUGAAAUUCUAUGUAGUUUCAAAAUGAAAUUGCAGACAGCUUUUGAAACAAUUUCCUACCACCUUUUCCUUCCCUCUCUAUUUUAUAGGUUAUGAUUUCCUUGGAAAUAAAUCCGUUUUCACUUUCUCCUUUCUCAGUUCCUCUACUGGGUACUUUCCUUUAGCCUGGGAGUUUCAGCUGCAAACACGUUAUAGGGCUUCCUUUUUCCAAACACUGCAUUAGCAAGAAAUAGUAUAAGCACAUUUUUGGAAAGUUCAGUCUCUGAGGUUCAGUACUGAGGCUCAGAGUUUUCUGGGAACUAUAAAACAGGGCAGAGUAGAUGGCAGUGCCAAGAGGUUCCAGCUCCCCUGUUAAGGUGAUGGGGUGUUAUAUAUCUGACUCACUUCCCAGUUCCCACAGUGAGCUAUAGCAUUCAUGGAAAUACAUCACCAUCUGAUAAAAGAGCAAAGAGUGAUGGCUCAUAGGAAACUGCAUCUUUUUGGAAAACAACAAUUGACAUUUUCUUUCCCUAAAGAUUUUAUCAAGUAAUAUGAAAUUAUUGGGUUAAGCUAGAAGCAGGUAGAGACCACAGGAGAAAUGUAGGCUUUAGAAACAAAAUGUGGAGAGAUUUUCUGAAUGUGAGGUUAAGAGUUAAAAGACAUCUCAGACCCAAACUCUUACAUAGAUUGUUAAGUGAUUAUACACUCCCAAGAAUCCAAAUGGAAGAGAAGGAAUGGAAUAGAGAGGUCUGGGCAAAAUCUGACAAAGAUUUUGCUGCGAACAAGCUGCACAACUUGAGGAAGAGAAGGGGAGAGCUAUUCAGAAUGACAGGAUGAGUUGGAAAUUCUUUGACACUGACCUGGAAAGAAAGAAUGAAAAAUAAUCUUGUACUCUUUCUUAUCCUUGUCUGUUUGGAUACAUCACAAAAUACAAGACCAAGCUGACACUGGUCUUGAUUGGCCCUGGGUUGCAAUUAGAUCAUUGAACUAAAGGCUCACAUACAUAAUAAUACAUACAUGCAGCUAUACAUAUACACGUGUAUAUGUGUACACCGAGAUGUGAAUAUACAUAUAUAUACAUGCAUGUAUAAAUGCACAAUACACAUAUAG